UACGAAGGGGGCUAGCGUUGUUCGGAAUUACUGGGCGUAAAGCGUGCGCAGGCGGCUUCUCAAGUCAGGGGUGAAAGCCCAGAGCUCAACUCUGGAACUGCCUUUGAGACUGAGAGGCUUGAGUACGGGAGAGGUGAGUGGAAUUCCCAGUGUAGAGGUGAAAUUCGUAGAUAUCAGGAGGAACACCGGUGGUGUAGACGGCUCUCUGGACCGUAACUGACGCUGAGACACGAAAGCGUGGGUAGCAAACAGG
rnacentral:rRNA from 1 species